CAGGCUAAACUAAAAAGCACCUCUUACGGGUGCUAGUUCUUGCCUGCUGAACUCAUGUUGUAAAGGACCUGUAAAGGUCUUUUU
rnacentral:ncRNA from 1 species